GACGAACGCUGGCGGCGUGCUUAACACAUGCAAGUCGAACGGAAAGGCUCCAGCUUGCUGGAGUACUCGAGUGGCGAGCGGGUGAGUAACACGUGGGUAAUCUGCCCUGCACUCUGGGAUAAGCCUGGGAAACUGGGUCUAAUACUGGAUAUGACCUUUCUCCUUAUGGGGUUUGGUGGAAAGUUUUUCGGUGUAGGAUGAGCCCGCGGCCUAUCAGCUUGUUGGUGGGGUGAUGGCCUACCAAGGCGACGACGGGUAGCCGGCCUGAGAGGGUGAUCGGCCACAUUGGGACUGAGAUACGGCCCAGACUCCUACGGGAGGCAGCAGUGGGGAAUAUUGCACAAUGGGCGGAAGCCUGAUGCAGCGACGCCGCGUGAGGGAUGACGGCCUUCGGGUUGUAAACCUCUUUCAGCAGGGACGAAGCGUAAGUGACGGUACCUGCAGAAGAAGCACCGGCUAACUAUGUG
rnacentral:rRNA from 1 species